UUAUUUUGUUUUUGUAUAUAGACAUUUUUUACAGGUAGAGUUUGUAAAGUGCAAGUCCGAAGGCAUGCCGAAGCAUGCAUUUGAAGCUUGCAGACAGUUCACAGGUGUUAUGGAUGUGUAUUCCUCCGUGGACCGCGAGGGGCCCACAGAACGCCGUCCGACAUUGCUGCCGUCCGACAAGAUUGAAUUCACUAAUGAUCCUUCCGCAGGUUCACCUACGGAAA
rnacentral:misc_RNA from 1 species